UCCCAGGUAGCUCAGAUGGUAAAGAAUCUGCCUGCAAUGCAGGAGACACUGGUUCAAUUCCUGGGUUGGGAA
rnacentral:tRNA from 1 species